GGGAUGAUAGCUCAGUUGGGAGAGCGCGAGAGUGAAGCUAGUCAAUUCUUGAGGUCGGGCGUUCGAUCCGCCCUCGUCCCA
rnacentral:tRNA from 2 species